rnacentral:sRNA from 1 species
GCGCGCGUCAUUGGGGAGUAGCUUCCCGUCGUAUCGCGACGGGGCCUGCGUCAACAGACUUGGCCCACAGGCCAUGGUGCAGGCAGCCCUCGGGCCUAGCAAGACCUUUGACUACACCACUUCGGACUGGCCGAGGAGGGUGUGGUCAAGGUGUGCGUUCGGCCAGGGAGUU